rnacentral:rRNA from 1 species
CCAGACUCCUACGGGAGGCAGCAGUGAGGAAUAUUGGUCAAUGGGCGGGAGCCUGAACCAGCCAAGUCGCGUGAGGGAUGACGGCCCUAUGGGUUGUAAACCUCUUUUGCCGGGGGACAAACGGCGGCACGCGUGCCGUCCUGAGGGUACCCGGAGAAAAAGCAUCGGCUAACUCCGUGCCAGCAGCCGCGGUAAUACGGAGGAUGCGAGCGUUAUCCGGAUUUAUUGGGUUUAAAGGGUGCGUAGGCGGGUGGCAAAGUCGGCGGUCAAAUACGGGGGCUCAACCUGCGUCCGCCGUUGUAACUGGGUGCCUUGAGUGGGCGAGAAGUACGCGGAAUGCGUGGUGUAGCGGUGAAAUGCAUAGAUAUCACGCAGAACUCCGAUUGCGAAGGCAGCGUACCGGCGCCCAACUGACGCUGAAGCACGAAGGCGUGGGUAUCGAACAGGAUUAGAUACCCUCGUA